GCACUGCGCACCUCCACUUUUUGUGGGUUGCAAAAUUAGUAUAAAUUAACUUUGUAUUUAUUUUUUUAUUUUCUUCAAAUAAAUUCAUUUUAACAAACCCUAGUUUUCAUAUAUUUUUUUUCUGCAAAAUCGAUUCAGCUCUCAGGUUUCGAAAAUCAUCUUCUGCUCUGCUUGGUUCUUGAUGAAGGUUUUGGAAGGUUAGAUUAGUGAAGUUGCUGCCAACAUGAAAUUCAGGAAAGGGAGUAAAGUGGAGGUAUUGAACAAAAAGGAAGUGCCUUCAGGUGCCUGGCACUGUGCUGAAAUUAUCUCCGGUAAUGGGCACAACUACAGUGUUAGGUAUGACUCUUAUCUGGGCAUGACAAAUAAGGCGAAUGUGGAUAGGGUGUCUAGGAAGGCUAUUAGACCUUGCCCUCUCCCUGUGAAAGGUAUGGAAAGUUGGGUGACUGGUGAUGUUGUGGAGGUGUUCAAUGAUGGUUCUUGGAAAUGUGCUAUGGUUUUGAAGGUUACAUGUGCGGUUUACUAUUUGGUUAGGCUACUUGGAUCUUGCCACGAAUUUGAAGUCCACAAGUCUAACAUCAGAGUGCGACAAGCUUGGAUAGAUAACAAAUGGGUUGUGAUUGGACAGGGCUCUAUCACUUUUGAAGAUGUGAGAGUCAACAAGCUGUUAACUUCAAAUUGUCAUCAGAAGAUGAGUUUCCAGGUGCCACAAGCUGAUAUGAAGCUAAAAUUGCAAGCAGGAGAUGCUUUUUUUAAGAAGCAUGCUGAUUUCCAGGAUUCUCCUAUGGUCUCAUCCAAGACAUUGAAGAGAGCAUCCCCAUAUUGCUCCUCUGGUCUUGAAGCAUACUCUGGAAACAUUCAGAAGAUGAGAGCAAUCGAAAAUGGUGGACGCCAACGAGUGAUCACCGGGUAUUCAUCUCCAUUACGAGACAAGGGCCAAAGUUGGAGGCAUGCAUGCCUUGCUUCCAAAGGUCUAAAGAUGAUGCGGGGUUUUCAGGCUUGCUGUGAACCGUUGAUGCGUCUUAUGUCAGAGAAAGUAAAAACAAAAAUUUGACAAAGCUGGCAUGAAUUUCCUGAUAUGGAAGAUUGCAAAGAGUCCCCCAUAAUUGUAGCCAGGGAGCACAUGCAUCCUUCUUCAGGAAUGACCCAUCCCCACCUUCAGUUAAAGAUGCAACAAUGGAUUUAACAAAGAAUUUCUGCGAUGGAAAUUUUUCCUGAUAUAAAUGGGUUUGAGCUAUAUACAUGUAAAAGUCUAUUAAAGAAUUUUGCUUAUCCUAUCCCAACUCUACUAAUACGGAUUUUUGAUCUGUUGUAUCUUUUCUUCUGACCAACUCAGAUAUUCUACUAUCUUUUAGUUGUUGUCUACAGCUAUAUGAUGAAGUAUGGGAACAAAAUCUUUAUGGUGUUUGGAUUUUUUUGAAGACAUGGGAAGGGUUUGAGUAAAAUGAGCCCUGAGGGGUAGCUCAGUUGGUCCGGCCUUGGGUUUGCUCCCCAAUGGUCACUAGUUCGAGUCCCCUCAAGGCCACUAGAGGAUUGUCUGGUCGUUUACUUCAGGGCUCCAUGGGAUUAGUUGAGGAUCUGAAUUAUUCAGAUUCAACAGGAUCAUAUGUUCUUUGAUUCUCAAAAAGCUUGACCUCCUUCCUAGUUAAUUGGGUGAAAAAAGAGGACCUUGAGACACGUAGUUACAAGGUUGGGGCAGAGGUGAUACUUUCAAAUUGUAGUGAUCAUUUGAAAAACCUGAAAGGCAAUUCCAUUGGAUCAGUCAAUGACAACUGGUCAGAUGAUUAAGCACAAGGUUUUUGUAUUUGUGAUUCUGAUGAUGCUCGCCAUAAGAAGAAAACCUUGAGGCUAUUAUUGGUUCAUUGAAGACUUGGUAAUAGAUGAGUUGUUGAGGAAUGACCAUGAAGAGGAGAUCCCUCGAUACCUUAAGUCUUGUGAGACCGGUGGUAUAUUCAGCCCUCUUUAACUGUUUUUGAUCUGUUACAUAUUGUUGUUUAGUCUGGAUUUUUAUCUUUUCUAGUUUCUUUUUUUUCCCUGGGUUUUGGAAGGCAUUGGUGGGCAGACUGCAUUUGACUCUGUUAUCAUUUACAGCUAGGUUUACUAUUUGUGGAAAUUGCGAGCUUCGGCUGUAUUUUCCAUCUCUGAAGCACUUACAUGGGACGGCAAUUGGGAAGAGUUGUGACGCCCAUUCCAAGGUCCUGCAUGUGGGUUAGUGACAAAACUAUCCGCUCUUUUUUCUUUUCAAUUUAAUUUUUUCCUAUUAUUAUUUUAUAUAUAUAUAUAUAUAAAUCUAAGAAAUGCUUUGUUAAUUUUUAUAAAGAUUAAAGAAUUGCAGUUUGUAAUUUGUAAAA